CAUCAGGGCAGUUCCCUGAGAGGAUCCUUGAUGGGAAUACCAGACAGGCUCCCCAGGUAUAGCUAGGCGAGAUUACAUGGUCUCUUGCCUAGCUGAAGGGCUGAAAAAGGCAGCAUACAAAGCUGUUAAUUAUGACAAGCUUUAAGAAGCCACCCAAGGUAAAGAUGAAAAUCCAGCCCAGUUCAUGGCCCGUUUGGUGGCUACCCUUAGAAACUUUACAGCCCUAGACCCUGAAGGGCCAGAAGGCCAUCUUAUUCUCAAUAUGCAUUUUAUCACUCAGUCAGCUCCUGACAUUACAAAAAAAGCUUCAAAAAUUGGAAUCUGGCCCUCAAACCCCACAACAGGAAUUAAUCAAUCUCGCCUUCAAGGUGUUCAACAAUAGAGAAGAGGCAGCCAAGCAGCAACGUCUUUCAGAGCUGCAAUUGCUUGCCUCUGCUGUAAGACAAACCCCAGCCAUGCCUUCAGCACACAAAAACUUCAGAGCAACCAAACCACAGCCUCUAGGCACUCCUUUAAAACCAUCUCAUGGACCUUGCUUCAAGUGCCGCAAAACUGGCCACUGGGCCAAGGAAUGCCUGCAGCCCGGGAUUCCUCCUAAGCCUGUCCCACCUGUGCGGGACCCCACUGGAAAUCGGACUGUCCAACUAAUAUCACAGCCCCUUCUAGGGUCCCUGGAGCUCUGGCUCAAAGCUCUCUGGCUGACUCCUUCCCAGAUCUCCUCGGCUUAGUGGCUGAAGACUGAUGCUGCCCGAUCGCCUCAGAAGCCCCUUGGACCAUCACAGAUGCCGAGCUUCGGGUAACUCUUACGGUGGAGGAUUCCCAGCCAUAUGAAGACACCCUAGCUGGACGAUCAGUCCUUGUCAAAAGUCUGACCCCUCAAACUCUACAGCCUCAAUGGACCAGACCCUACCCGGUCAUUUAUAGCACACCAACUGCCGUCCAUCUGCAGGACCCUCUCCAUUGGGUUCACCAUUCCAGAAUAAAGCCAUGCCCAUCAGACAGCCAGCUUGAUCUCUCCUCUUCCUCCUGGAAGCCACAAGAUUAGGCCGAGAGCCGAUCAGACAAACAACCUACAACCCUUAAGCUCCUGGCAGCGCCCAGCCAAGGCCAUGCUUCCUUGCAACACUCCUUCCAAAUGGCCAUCCCAGCAUGCUUCCAAGCAGGCUUCAUCCGUUCCUCUGGACCCUCAUCUCUUAAGACCUGCCGCCUAUAAAAAGGAUUAUAUCUUGAGACCCUAUCCUCUAAAAUUUUUUCCACACCCAAAACAAAAAAUCUCUGGGUCAAAAGUCUAAAACGCUUAGGCUGGCAACCAUCAGAUCCUUGCCCAUGGUGUCCUCAAGCCUACUCUCAUGAAAUGGACAACAGUACACGCAUAUGGGGCCAGUUCCACAUAUUUGGCAACCAGACCAGCAUCCAGGACAACACAAAGUAUGUUGUUUGUUGUUAGAGGGCUUGGGACAUUUCACUCUUUGCCAGCCUCAGCUUAAUCCAGGAGACAAAGAUUAUUUUCCUUAUUAUCUCUUCUGCAUAGGAUCUGCAAUCAGAACUAUUGAACUUCUCCAUUCAGACCGCCACUCACACCUAUGGGAAAAGGGUAAUGUAUCAUCGGCUUAGCAACAGGGAAUACUAUUCGUAUGAUGGAAAAUGGGGACAAAAGGCUUUGGUACAUAAAACAUUAUUCCUUCCUUGGCCUAAAAACUCAUCGCCACCUACAUUAAAGCUAAUAUGCCU
ensembl:lncRNA UCA1 urothelial cancer associated 1